GACGAACGCUGGCGGCGUGCUUAACACAUGCAAGUCGAACGGAAAGGCCCCUUCGGGGGUACUCGAGUGGCGAACGGGUGAGUAACACGUGGGCAAUCUGCCCUGCACUUCGGGAUAAGCCUGGGAAACUGGGUCUAAUACCGGAUAGGACCACUUGGCGCAUGCCUUGUGGUGGAAAGCUUUUGCGGUGUGGGAUGGGCCCGCGGCCUAUCAGCUUGUUGGUGGGGUGAUGGCCUACCAAGGCGACGACGGGUAGCCGGCCUGAGAGGGUGUCCGGCCACACUGGGACUGAGAUACGGCCCAGACUCCUACGGGAGGCAGCAGUGGGGAAUAUUGCACAAUGGGCGCAAGCCUGAUGCAGCGACGCCGCGUGGGGGAUGACGGCCUUCGGGUUGUAAACCUCUUUCAGCAGGGACGAAGCGAAAGUGACGGUACCUGCAGAAGAAGCACCGGCCAACUACGUGCCAGCAGCCGCGGUAAUACGUAGGGUGCGAGCGUUGUCCGGAAUUACUGGGCGUAAAGAGCUCGUAGGUGGUUUGUCGCGUUGUUCGUGAAAACCGGGGGCUUAACCCUCGGCGUGCGGGCGAUACGGGCAGACUAGAGUACUGCAGGGGAGACUGGAAUUCCUGGUGUAGCGGUGGAAUGCGCAGAUAUCAGGAGGAACACCGGUGGCGAAGGCGGGUCUCUGGGCAGUAACUGACGCUGAGGAGCGAAAGCGUGGGGAGCGAACAGGAUUAGAUACCCUGGUAGUCCACGCCGUAAACGGUGGGUACUAGGUGUGGGUUUCCUUCCUUGGGAUCCGUGCCGUAGCUAACGCAUUAAGUACCCCGCCUGGGGAGUACGGCCGCAAGGCUAAAACUCAAAGGAAUUGACGGGGGCCCGCACAAGCGGCGGAGCAUGUGGAUUAAUUCGAUGCAACGCGAAGAACCUUACCUGGGUUUGACAUGCACAGGACGCGUCUAGAGAUAGGCGUUCCCUUGUGGCCUGUGUGCAGGUGGUGCAUGGCUGUCGUCAGCUCGUGUCGUGAGAUGUUGGGUUAAGUCCCGCAACGAGCGCAACCCUUGUCUCAUGUUGCCAGCGGGUAAUGCCGGGGACUCGUGAGAGACUGCCGGGGUCAACUCGGAGGAAGGUGGGGAUGACGUCAAGUCAUCAUGCCCCUUAUGUCCAGGGCUUCACACAUGCUACAAUGGCCGGUACAAAGGGCUGCGAUGCCGCAAGGUUAAGCGAAUCCUUUUAAAGCCGGUCUCAGUUCGGAUCGGGGUCUGCAACUCGACCCCGUGAAGUCGGAGUCGCUAGUAAUCGCAGAUCAGCAACGCUGCGGUGAAUACGUUCCCGGGCCUUGUACACACCGCCCGUCACGUCAUGAAAGUCGGUAACACCCGAAGCCAGUGGCCUAACCCUUGGGAGGGAGCUGUCGAAGGUGGGAUCGGCGAUUGGGACGAAGUCGUAACAAGGUAACCGUACCGGAAGGUGCGGCUGGAUCACCUCCUUUCU
rnacentral:rRNA from 1 species